UGGGGAAUAUUGCACAAUGGGCGAAAGCCUGAUGCAGCGACGCCGCGUGAGGGAUGACGGCCUUCGGGUUGUAAACCUCUUUCAGCAGGGAAGAAGCGAAAGUGACGGUACCUGCAGAAGAAGCGCCGGCUAACUACGUGCCAGCAGCCGCGGUAAUACGUAGGGCGCAAGCGUUGUCCGGAAUUAUUGGGCGUAAAGAGCUCGUAGGCGGUUAGUCGCGUCUGCUGUGAAAACUCGAGGCUCAACCUCGGGCUUGCAGUGGGUACGGGCUGACUAGAGUGCGGUAGGGGUGACUGGAAUUCCUGGUGUAGCGGUGGAAUGCGCAGAUAUCAGGAGGAACACCGAUGGCGAAGGCAGGUCACUGGGCCGCAACUGACGCUGAGGAGCGAAAGCAUGGGGAGCGAACAGGAUUAGAUACCCUGGUAGUCCAUGCCGUAAACGUUGGGCACUAGGUGUGGGGUCCAUUCCACGGAUUCCGUGCCGCAGCAAACGCAUUAAGUGCCCCGCCUGGGGAGUACGGCCGCAAGGCUAAAACUCAAAUGAAUUGACGGGGUCAUAGCUG
rnacentral:rRNA from 1 species